rnacentral:rRNA from 1 species
GAUGAACGCUGGCGGCGUGCCUAAUACAUGCAAGUCGAGCGAACAGAUAAGGAGCUUGCUCCUUUGACGUUAGCGGCGGACGGGUGAGUAACACGUGGGUAACCUACCUAUAAGACUGGAAUAACUCCGGGAAACCGGGGCUAAUGCCGGAUAACAUUUAGAACCGCAUGGUUCUAAAGUGAAAGAUGGUGUUUCUAUCACUUAUAGAUGGACCCGCGCCGUAUUAGCUAGUUGGUAAGGUAACGGCUUACCAAGGCAACGAUACGUAACCGACCUGAGAGGGUGAUAGGCCACACUGGAACUGAGACACGGUCCAGGCUCCUACGGGAGGCAGCAGUAGGGAAUCUGCCGCAAUGGGCGAAAGCCUGACGGAACAACGCCGCGUGAGUGAUGACGGUCUUCGGAUCGUAAAACUCUGUUAUUAGGGAAGAACAAAUGUGUAAGUAACUGUGCACGUCUUGACGGUACCUAAUCAGAAAGCCACGGCUAACUACGUG